UACGGGGGGGGCAAGCGUUUGUUCGGAAUUACUGGGCGUAAAGGGCGCGUAGGCGGUCCUUCAAGUCAGGCGUGAAAGCCCCGGGCUCAACCUGGGAACCGCGCUUGAGACUGGCGGACUCGAGUUCGGGAGAGGAUGGUGGAAUUCCCAGUGUAGAGGUGAAAUUCGUAGAUAUUGGGAAGAACACCGAUGGCGAAGGCAGCCAUCUGGACCGACACUGACGCUGAGGCGCGAAAGCGUGGGGAGCAAACAGGG
rnacentral:rRNA from 1 species